GCUGUUUGGUUCACCGUCUAACUUAUCCGUGCCACACUUUUUUAACAGCUAUUUUACAUGGCAUCCAUCCAACCUGACAACCUAAUAUCAAUUUUUCUGCAAACGAUCGGGCGGCUGCUGCCGAUGAAGCAUAUAUGCAUGGUUGAACAAUUCAAUGGAACAAUUCCUAAUGGAUCUAAGGACUGCAGAUUUUUUACUAAACAAAUUCAAUGGAACAAUUCCUAAAAGCAUAUAUGCAUGCAACAAUUAUACCACCGUCCCUCAAUUUUCAUGGCCAGUUCUCACCAAGAAAGCCAAUCUCAGAUCCCUUUCCUUCAUUUCAGUUACCAAUAACUCAUUUACAAAUAUCACAGAUGCACUUUAGCAGCUGCAAGAACCUUCAUAAUAGCCCCAUGACAUGAUGAAUAUGAGGAAACCAAACUAACAGAUUAAUAUAUAGAGCCCAUAACAUGUCCAAUCAUCCAUAACAGGCCAUAGCAUCUUCAUAAUAGCCCCAUCACAACUCCACAAGACCCAUAAACACCAUUAAAGGUUCACAUUGCUCAACAAAAAGAGUAUCUAAUUAUUAACCAAAAGAGUGUGUGAUAGCUAUCACAACCACCAGCCUUCUCCAUGAACCGUCAUGCAUCAACCUAGAAGAAAUGCAAAAUAACCAACCAUCACACAUUCACCUCCUGCUUGGAUCAACCUGUUACAAUUGCAAAAUAUCUCAAAUUAGUAUAAGCACAAACAAUAAAGCUAUAAUGACCGAAAGUACAAAAAAAAUUACCUAGUCGAUUCACAGGUCCAAAUCACUUAAAUGCUUCAAUACCCAUGACUCAAAUAGAGCAUCCUCUAACAACCUACGAGACCUUUGGUUGUGUCCCUGUGGUUCUCUGUGGUUCUCAUGGUAAUGAGGUCACGUGACAUGACACAUAGAGCAUCUAAAACAAGGUUGAAGUACCUGCUAACUGUUUCUCCGGACCGCAUGAAUUCAAACCCAACUGACCUAUUUGUCCAUCUAUGACCAACAAACUUUAAGAACAUAGCAACUUGUUCUUCAACAGAGACAUUGACAUUAUCCUCUAACAACCUACGAGACCUUAAAUGGCUACAUAACCUAUGGAAAACAAAUUUGCGCAUGCGCAACUCACUAAUACAAUUGGCUUCUGUCCCAUUAUACAACCGGUUGAGCCGCCUCUCUCGUUCCAAAUCUCGUUGUAACAAAGGACCAUAUUUAACACUCUUCCUAUGUAAUCUAUUCAGUUUGUACCAAAGAAAAACCACACAAAUGGUAAUGUAAAUAAGCACCCUUCUUCUUCGUAGGUACUGGAUGUAACUAUUGUAAUAUUGAAGAUACAUCUCCUUCACACCCAUCUAGACAAAUUAGAAACUAAUUACAAUCUUUAAAAUACCCAAAAUGCAAGUUUCAGAGGCUAGAAUUUCAGUUACCUUUAGAAUUCAAGUUAUCCAGUCGGCAGAACCGGUUGAGAUAGAAUUUCAGUGCUCCUGAUCCUGCACAAGCACAAGAAAAAAAUAAAUCGUUAGGCUCUGAGGGAGAGAACUAUUAGAAGAACUAUGCAUUCCUACAUUCCAGCUGCUAAAAUAAGAAAUAUUCUUUCCUACAUUCCAGCUGCUAAAACAGGUUCCUGAUCCAGCACACCUUUGCAUCAGCUAGCGGCCAGCUAAAACAGGAACCUGAUAUAUUUUUACAAAGUUUCAGAGUAGUAGUACUUGGCUUGCUGCUGCUCCUUCACACCAGCCAUCACUAGCAUUCAACAGACAACGUACUAGUCCUUCACACCAGCCAUCCAAGCUCCUAGAUGCCAUGGCACGUACAGACAUCUCCUUCACACCAAGCGUCUCCUAGAUGUGACGGCAGAGCCUGACGCUACCCCUAGCGGCAGAGCCCGACGCUCCGACUAGCCAUCUAGCCCCUAGCGGCCUGGGGACUGUGAAAUGCAGAGGUCUGCUGUAGGGUGCCGUGGGGAUCUGCGUGUGUGGUGCCGUGCGGAUCUGCUGCAGGAUGGGGGUGGGUGCGUGUGUGGUGCCGUCGGCCCGCACAAUCGAAGAAGAAACGACGGGCAGAUCUACGCGGAGGAGCGAAGAAGAAUACAGGGGAGCCAAGAAAACCGGGUGGCAGAAAUACGAGGGACAUCACCGUGCUUGGAGGAGACGACGAGAAGAUCCGUGCUUGGAGGAGGAGAUGACGAGAGAUCAACCAGCGGCAUGAGAGGGAGAGAAGGGGGCGAAGUGCGGCGCGUAGCGGUGCUGGGGCAUCGAAAACGAGCGCCCCAGAUGCGGCGAAAAAAAGUAUGGCAAGCUCAGGGAACCUCGCCACACUUUUUGUGGCUGCCUAAAGUUAGUCACGAACCAAACACUUGCCCACAGAAGUGUGGCAUGUCUAACUUUAGGUGGCGUUUGAGGCUAGCCUUG
rnacentral:lncRNA from 1 species